UCAGCCCCUGUCUGACAGCCUGCUGGACCACAGAGAGCCGGGGCCUGUGAUCAGCAUCAACCCUAUCACAAUACCACACGGGGGACACAGUGGAGGAAUUGUAGAAUAAAAGAAGUGUAGAGUGACAGGCUGCAAAGAGAGUUACAGCACCUUGCUGCUGCAGAACAGACCUCAAAGACAACACUCUAUGCUAUUUUUUAUUGUUAAACCUGUGUUCUGCCAUUGUCUGCCCUCCCUUCUGAGCUCAUCUCUCUCUCUCUCUCUCUCUCUCUCUCUCUCUCUCUCUCUCUUGCUGUGGCUCAAGAUGAAUCUGCCAGCAUGUGCCCAUGCUCUUCAUCACUGUCAGGUGCCCCAUGGUGGUCCUCCUCCUCUUUCUCAAACUGGGCACCAACCGCUGGUUGGAAUUAUUCCUCACCUCCGAAACUCUCCCCACUGUUUCUAAAUAAAUGUGGCUGUAGUGACC